rnacentral:rRNA from 1 species
UACGAAGGGGGCUAGCGUUGCUCGGAAUCACUGGGCGUAAAGCGCACGUAGGCGGAUUGCUAAGUCAGGGGUGAAAUCCUGGAGCUCAACUCCAGAACUGCCUUUGAUACUGGCGAUCUUGAGUCCGGGAGAGGUGAGUGGAACUGCGAGUGUAGAGGUGAAAUUCCGUAGAUAUUCGCAAGAACACCAGUGGCGAAGGCGGCUCACUGGGCCCGGUACUGACGCUGAGGUGCGAAAGCGUGGGAGCAAACAGG